ensembl:lncRNA
AUACUUUUUAAUUUACAGUUGUAACCGACGGGUUUCUGCGUUGUGUCUUGUCUUCGUUGAGUGAGGCACAAACAGGAGUCGAGUUAUGGCGGUUUAUUUCUUUUAACCCAUUAGUACCGGAUGCUGCACGGCGCAACAUUGCAUCUACCGCCGAUUGCUGCGUAGCGCAGCUUUGAAUCUCCUGCCGGCUGCUGCAUUGUUGAUUUGUCGUCAUUUUCAUGACAAAUGCAGCAUAUAAUGCAUUGACAUUGGUUCAAAUACACAAGGUGGGUCUUGUUGUUUUCUUAAAACCACGUGACCAGCAAAACGUUGUUGUUGGCCGACAAUCACGUCAAUCAAUCAGACAAACACGGGCAAUGUUGAACUUUUUUCCCCUGCAAAAAUGGCUGUGAUCGACGAGUACUGUGACAGCGGCGGCAGCGAUUUGGAGUUGGGAGAGAGUGAGGAGUUUGAGAGGGAGGUGGCGGUAGAAGGGUUUGUACCUGAUGAUCCUUUGGAUCAAGCCCAGGAGUGGUAUUUGUGGGUUGAAGGAGAGGAGGAGGAGGACGACAACGACUUUGCUGAAUUUCAGGUGGACUGGAAGACGGAUGGAUACUUGCCCCGAAAUCCCAAGCAGUUCACUCGCAAAUCGGGACUGAAGCAGCCGAUUGCCGUGGUUGAAACCCCCCUGGACGUAUUUUCAAAGAUAUUCACUGAUGAACUUUGAGACAUGUUGGUGACCCAAACAAAUGUUUAUGCUGAUCGGACGCGCGGCCAGACCCCAUCAAACUCGAAGUGGAACCCCAUCUCCAAAACCGAGAUGAAAACGUUUGUCGGGCUCUGCCUCACUUUUGGUAUCCUGAAACUGCCUGCACGCCGGGAUUAUUGGAGGCAAACAAAGUGGCUGUACCAGACACACGUCCCCAAGGCCAUGGCACGAUAUCUCCAUCUCCAAGACAACAUGGACCCUGCUGUGGACAAGUCUGACAAGCUCUGGAAGCUCAAGGGAUUCAUGGACCUUCUCCUUGUCAGAUUCCAGGAUCUCUACGAGGUCAAUGGCUUUGUGACCAUGGAUGAGUCCAUGGUCAAGUCCAAGGGACGCCUGGCCUUCCGGCAGUACCUCCCCAUGAAGCCGGUGAAGUGGGGAGUAAAGGUGUGGGUGAUGGCGGAGAGCAAGACAGGCUAUGGCAACAAUUUCCAGGUGUACACGAGGGCCCUUCAGGGACACCAAGGCAGUGAUGGUCCUGUCAAACUUCCAUGACGCGACAGCUUUUGGGUCAGUGAGGAGGAAGGCGAAUGGUCGUGCAGCUGAUCGUGCCCGUCACCAAAAGAAGUGCUCCCCACCAGCCCAACUGGAGCUUCUGCUGAGCAUGAUCUGGUCCAGAUAAACCAGAAGAAAACCUGCAGGGAGUGUUCUCUGAAGCGCAACGGCACCGACGUGUGUCCUAGGUCCACACUUAUGGGGUGCAGGCAGUAUGACCUUCCUCGGCACCGCGAGUGCUUCGUGCACCACGUCCUUCGCCACGCGAGUUGAUGCACCACGUCCUUCACCAAGACUGAUUUGUUGUGUGUGUGUGUCCUUUCCCCACCCUCCCCACUCCUUUCCCACCUCUCUCUCAUACCAAGGUGCCUUGGUCUGUGUUGGCAUGUUUUAAA